rnacentral:ncRNA from 2 species
GGCUGGCGACACGGGAGUCCGGUGCGCCGGGCUGAGAGGAAGGCUGAAGCCUUCGACCGUCAAACCUGAUCUGGAUCAUGCCAGCGCAGGGAGGACACGCACCCGUGCCA